GUCUACUUAUUUGUUUGUGAGAGCCUUUGGUAGAGGAAGAGAGGGAGAGAGAGGAGAGAUCUUUGAUUUGAUCUUUUUUACCAUCCUAGCUUUGUUUGUGCUUAGGAUUGGCUCGUAACCGGACAUGGUGGAGUAAUCCAAGAAUCAAUUUUGUUCUCAAUUGCUUCUCCUUCUCAAGAUCUGAAAUUUAUUUUUUCCCUAUUUUUGGAGCAUUUUUGGGUGAAUUUUUUGAUCUCGCGAUUGGUAGUGUUUUGGGGUGUUUUUCUUGAAGCAAAUUGGUGCUAGGACAUGUGCAAGAACAUCUAGGAUUAUCCCCUAGCAAACCCAUGCACAAGCACCUCAGUUUUUGAGAUUUCCCGAAAAUUCCCUUAUUGUGCCCUUCUCUAAAUCCAUGGAAUCUUAUGACUAAUUCAUGAGCUUUUCAAGUUGAAACUUGGGGAAUACCUUUAGUAUGUUGUUGUGAGUCUAUGGUUCAAAUUUUGUGAUUUUUAGAGGUGGUUUGAUCGAGUUUCAGAUUUUCUUCCCUCCUCACAAAGGCUGGUUUUUGGGAUUUCGGAAUAUUUUGGAAAUUUCCGGACCUGUAGAAGUUUCCGAAGGUUUUUCCAGAAAUCUCCGAAAAUCCAAAAGUUUCCGAAGGUUUGUCCUGAUUUUUAUGAACUGUGGUGUUGGUUUUAAAAGUUCUUCUU
rnacentral:lncRNA from 1 species